UCCAGCACUUAGCUCCGUGCCUCCAGUCAGCUGUUCUUCCGUCGUUAUCCAACACCACUUGCGGUGUGCUUGGCCAAUUUUGCCCAAAAACAAAAAGAAGGCAGCAACCAACAAGUGGCGCCAAGAAUCACAGCGAAGAAGAAUAGGAAAACAGGCACUUACCUGCUGUUCCUUCCCCCCCUUCGGCCUAGGGCUCGACAGCGUCCCACGGGAUUUCGGCCAGUACUAUUGGCCAGGUGGCCGCUUCUCUGCUUGCGGACUUGCGUUCCGCGCAGGCUAACUUCCGACGUUUUCCACUGAAUUAUACGGAACGAUUUAAAAACACGACCGCACUCACUAGAAUAGAGCAGCGGCGGCCCAGAGAACGAGAUAUUUGUUUUAAAAAUAAUUUCCCAUUUGAGCGUAAAUUAUGAAAUUUUACUAAAAGGAAAUGGUACUCGUACGGUACGAGUACGGUACUCUGUGCUGCAGCACAGAGAAUCAAGUGAAUAUUCGAUUGCCAUCAACUUUAAAAGGAGAAAGAGAGAGAGGGUGAAAUCUAAAUCGGUUACUUUAAAAAUAUCUCUAUUCUCAAGAUGACAUUUAGCUGGGGAAUGUUUCGGUUCCAAGUUUAAUGACCAACACGAGCCAUCCAUCGCCGCAGCAGCAGAUCGCAUCCCAAAGAAAAAAGAGCACACAGAAAGAGCGGACAGAAGACAGAAGAAGCAGAGGAAAUAUCAACGAACUUUGAAGAUCCAUCCACUCUCUGAACUUUGGCUGCCGCUGUGGAACUGUGGAAUGCGCUGUCAUCUACUCUACUCGUAAACUUGUUUGGCAAAAACCCAUCGAGUGGGUCAGCUUUUACACAUUGUUUGAGCUCCUCUGUCUCCACUGUUUUUCCUCUACUUUUUAUUGACAUUUCGCUGGAUCGAACGAACCGAACCGAGCCGAACGCAACCCAACCUCCACGAAACGAAAAUAAUAAUAACAAA